rnacentral:rRNA from 1 species
GAUGAACGCUGGCGGCGUGCCUAAUACAUGCAAGUCGAGCGAACGGACGAGAAGCUUGCUUCUCUGAUGUUAGCGGCGGACGGGUGAGUAACACGUGGAUAACCUACCUAUAAGACUGGGAUAACUUCGGGAAACCGGAGCUAAUACCGGAUAAUAUUUUGAACCGCAUGGUUCAAAAGUGAAAGACGGUCUUGCUGUCACUUAUAGAUGGAUCCGCGCUGCAUUAGCUAGUUGGUAAGGUAACGGCUUACCAAGGCAACGAUGCAUAGCCGACCUGAGAGGGUGAUCGGCCACACUGGAACUGAGACACGGUCCAGACUCCUACGGGAGGCAGCAGUAGGGAAUCUUCCGCAAUGGGCGAAAGCCUGACGGAGCAACGCCGCGUGAGUGAUGAAGGUCUUCGGAUCGUAAAACUCUGUUAUUAGGGAAGAACAUAUGUGUAAGUAACUGUGCACAUCUUGACGGUACCUAAUCAGAAAGCCACGGCUAACUACGUGCCAGCAGCCGCGGUAAUACGUAGGUGGCAAGCGUUAUCCGGAAUUAUUGGGCGUAAAGCGCGCGUAGGCGGUUUUUUAAGUCUGAUGUGAAAGCCCACGGCUCAACCGUGGAGGGUCAUUGGAAACUGGAAAACUUGAGUGCAGAAGAGGAAAGUGGAAUUCCAUGUGUAGCGGUGAAAUGCGCAGAGAUAUGGAGGAACACCAGUGGCGAAGGCGACUUUCUGGUCUGUAACUGACGCUGAUGUGCGAAAGCGUGGGGAUCAAACAGGAUUAGAUACCCUGGUAGUCCACGCCGUAAACGAUGAGUGCUAAGUGUUAGGGGGUUUCCGCCCCUUAGUGCUGCAGCUAACGCAUUAAGCACUCCGCCUGGGGAGUACGACCGCAAGGUUGAAACUCAAAGGAAUUGACGGGGACCCGCACAAGCGGUGGAGCAUGUGGUUUAAUUCGAAGCAACGCGAAGAACCUUACCAAAUCUUGACAUCCUUUGACAACUCUAGAGAUAGAGCUUUCCCCUUCGGGGACAAAGUGACAGGUGGUGCAUGGUUGUCGUCAGCUCGUGUCGUGAGAUGUUGGGUUAAGUCCCGCAACGAGCGCAACCCUUAAGCUUAGUUGCCAUCAUUAAGUUGGGCACUCUAAGUUGACUGCCGGUGACAAACCGGAGGAAGGUGGGGAUGACGUCAAAUCAUCAUGCCCCUUAUGAUUUGGGCUACACACGUGCUACAAUGGACAAUACAAAGGGCAGCGAAACCGUGAGGUCAAGCAAAUCCCAUAAAGUUGUUCUCAGUUCGGAUUGUAGUCUGCAACUCGACUACAUGAAGCUGGAAUCGCUAGUAAUCGUAGAUCAGCAUGCUACGGUGAAUACGUUCCCGGGUCU